CUGCCAUCUUUAGUCCAGCUCUGGGUGAUUUCAGCUCAGGCCCUGUGGUUUUUAUUUCAGCUCUGAGUGAUUUCAGCCCCAGCCCUACAGUUUUGAUUUCAACUCCAGCUCCAGCUCCAGCCGCAGUCGUUCUUCAGCUCCAGCUCUGUCACAUCUCAGCCGCAGCCCCACAGCAGUGAUUUCAGCUCCAACCCUGCCAUCCUGAUUUCAUCUCCCACCCUACAGUAGCUAUUGAACCCCAGGAUUUCCACUCCAGGCCUGUGCUGUUUCCCCUCCCACCCCCCCCCCACUCUUUAUUUCACCCCCCAGCCUCACAGACUUUCUUACGGCUCCAGCUCUGCGUUGUUUCAGCUUCAGCCCUGCAGUGUUUAGCUCAGCCUCAGCUCUACAUCUUCCUGUUGCCUCCGUGUUCUCACAGCAGCUCUGGGGGCUGUUGAUAAGGUAGUAAGUCAAUCACUGUCAUCACUCAACUAUCAAAACUGUCCCACUGUGUCUGUCCCCUGAAUAAAGUGUUCCUGUUGUGUGUGUCCCCAUUUCAGAGGGGAGUUUGGCCUGGUGCAUGCUGGCAUCCCAUGUUUCAGGGGCAAAUAAAACCAGACCCCCACCUCUGCUUGUUUUCAGGCCCAGAAACACAGCACUCUGGGGACUUUUGGAGCAGCUGAACCCCAGGACUGAGCUGGGCUGUUCAGCCCCAACCACAGAAC